GAUAUUGGAAGCUUGCUUCCGAUAGGCGUCGACCGGCGCACGGGUGAGUAACGCGUAUCCAAUCCUGCCCACCACUUGGGGAUAACCUUGCGAAAGUAAGACUAAUACCCAAUGAUAUCUCUAGAAGACAUCUGAAAGAGAUUAAAGAUUUAUCGGUGAUGGAUGGGGAUGCGUCUGAUUAGCUUGUUGGCGGGGUAACGGCCCACCAAGGCAACGAUCAGUAGGGGUUCUGAGAGGAAGGUCCCCCACAUUGGAACUGAGACACGGUCCAAACUCCUACGGGAGGCAGCAGUGAGGAAUAUUGGUCAAUGGGCGAGAGCCUGAACCAGCCAAGUAGCGUGCAGGAAGACGGCCCUAUGGGUUGUAAACUGCUUUUAUAAGGGAAUAAAGUUAGUCUCGUGAGACUUUUUGCAUGUACCUUAUGAAUAAGGACCGGCUAAUUCCGUGCCAGCAGCCGCGGUAAUACGGAAGGUCCGGGCGUUAUCCGGAUUUAUUGGGUUUAAAGGGAGCGUAGGCCGGAGAUUAAGCGUGUUGUGAAAUGUAGAUGCUCAACAUCUGAACUGCAGCGCGAACUGGUUUCCUUGAGUACGCACAAAGUGGGCGGAAUUCGUGGUGUAGCGGUGAAAUGCUUAGAUAUCACGAAGAACUCCGAUUG
rnacentral:rRNA from 1 species